UACGUAGGGUGCAAGCGUUGUUCGGAAUUACUGGGCGUAAAGCGCGCGCAGGCGGCUAUCCAAGUCAGUGGUGAAAGCCCGGAGCUCAACUCCGGAACUGCCAUUGAAACUGUUUAGCUUGAGGAUGAGAGAGGUGAGUGGAAUUCCCAGUGUAGAGGUGAAAUUCGUAGAUAUUGGGAAGAACACCGGUGGCGAAGGCGGCUCACUGGCUCAUUACUGACGCUCAGGCGCGAUAGCGUGGGGAUCAAACAGG
rnacentral:rRNA from 1 species